GUAGUACUCCCUCUGUCCGGAAAUACUUAUCAUUGAAAUAGAUGUAUCUAGAUGUAUUUUAGUUUUAGAUACAUCCAUUUUCGUCCAUUUUGAUGACAAGUAAUUCCGGACAGAGGGAGUAGCCU
rfam:Triticum aestivum genome assembly, contig: Triticum_aestivum_CS42_TGACv1_scaffold_050004_1BS